GUGCAGGACAUCUUUUUUUUUUUUUUUUUUUGACAUCUGUUUGGCCUGCAGGUUCACUGUCCUCUUCUCCAUCAUGCUUUGGGCUCUGAGGGGCUGACCUGAAGGACACACACAGUAGCGGUACCCCCUCCCUCUGCCAUCCCUGGAGACUGGGGGAGAGGGCGAGUGAGAUGGAGCCCUCCAUGUGGGACUGAGCUGUCUGUGUCCCUGGACUCCUGUCUUUCCUGGUAACUACUUCUUUCUGUUGCCCCAUCAGGCCUAGGACUGGUAACUAGGAUACCACACUACAACUUAGGGUUUCUCUGCCUGCGCUGCACUCUGCCUGCACCUUGGGAAACCGUACCUUUAUUAAUCUCUUCAAAUUACCCAGCUUGAGGGUGCCAUUUAUUUCCUGCCAGGACCCUGACUUGAAACACCAAACAAUAUUUACAUUAUCAAAAUGUGAAAACUGACUACUGAUUACCAGAGGAACCUGUGAAAUAACUAUAUUGGGAAGCUGGAGAAAGGGAAAUGGGAACAAUGGUAUAAGAACACCAAAUCCUUAACUGCCAUAGUAGUAGUGAAUAACAAAAUUGAUAAACUGAGAAUGGAAUAAUAUAAGCUAAAAGAGUUGAAAGUGAUGACUUCUGUGAAGAGGGAAGUUGAUGGACAUGAUGUUUCGUUCCCUAUCAACGUUGAUAUCAAUCAGCUUUGAGCUGAAGUCUGAUAGAGGGAAGAAUACAGAAACAUUCUCUUCAGGUUCUCAAAAGACUGGAAAGAAUUUAUUUCAUAAAUACUGCAACUGAAGUGUGCAAUUAGUUAUAAGCUAUUUCAUAUAGGUAAUUUGGAGAAUGCAGGGCACCAUUAAGAAGUGAGUAUUAAUAAGUCUAUUAAAGGUAAGCCAUGAAGAUUAGUUUUGGGGGGCAGUUUUGGGUGGGGUAAAAGUACAAAACUAAGCACCUUUACUGUUCAUUGAGGGAAUUUUCUUCCAUUCAGGUUUCUAAACAAGGAACUUAAGAAGAUGUUGCCUUUUACUGUGUGGCUCAGUGAAAACCUAUAUCAGCAGACACUCACCUGACACAUAUCAAGUGUUGGACUCUGUCCCAAGUGUCCUGUAUACUCUGUUAUCCUCACGGUAACCCUACCAGCUAAGUGCUACUAGCAGUUCAGUUCAGCCGCUCAGUCAUGUCCGACUCUUUGCGACCCCAUGAAUCGCAGCACGCCAGGCCUCCCUGUCCAUCACCAACUCCCUGAGUUCACCCAAACUCAUGUGCAUUGAGUCGUUGAUGCCAUCCAGCCAUCUCAUCCUCUGUCGUCCCCUUCUCCUCCUGCCCCCAAUCCCUCCC
rnacentral:lncRNA from 1 species